rnacentral:rRNA from 1 species
UACGUAGGGGGCAAGCGUUGUCCGGAAUCAUUGGGCGUAAAGAGCGCGUAGGCGGUCCGGUAAGUCCGCUGUGAAAGUCAAGGGCUCAACCCUUGAAUGCCGGUGGAUACUGCAGGGCUGGAGUCCGGAAGAGGCGAGUGGAAUUCCUGGUGUAGCGGUGGAAUGCGCAGAUAUCAGGAGGAACACCAAUAGCGAAGGCAGCUCGCUGGGACGGUACUGACGCUGAGGCGCGAAAGCGUGGGGAGCGAACAGG